rnacentral:rRNA from 1 species
AGUCGAACGCUUCUUUCCUCCCGAGUGCUUGCACUCAAUUGGAAAGAGGAGUGGCGGACGGGUGAGUAACACGUGGGUAACCUACCCAUCAGAGGGGGAUAACACUUGGAAACAGGUGCUAAUACCGCAUAACAGUUUAUGCCGCAUGGCAUAAGAGUGAAAGGCGCUUUCGGGUGUCGCUGAUGGAUGGACCCGCGGUGCAUUAGCUAGUUGGUGAGGUAACGGCUCACCAAGGCCACGAUGCAUAGCCGACCUGAGAGGGUGAUCGGCCACACUGGGACUGAGACACGGCCCAGACUCCUACGGGAGGCAGCAGUAGGGAAUCUUCGGCAAUGGACGAAAGUCUGACCGAGCAACGCCGCGUGAGUGAAGAAGGUUUUCGGAUCGUAAAACUCUGUUGUUAGAGAAGAACAAGGACGUUAGUAACUGAACGUCCCCUGACGGUAUCUAACCAGAAAGCCACGGCUAACUACGUGCCA